GCUUCUAUAGCUCAAUGGUAGAGCAGAAUUCUUCUAAUUUUCUGAUAGAUGUUCGAGUCGUCUUAGAGGUA